CGCCCUCUCCCUCCGUUCCGAAUUACUUGUCGCAGGUAUGGAUGUAUCUAGAUGUAUUUUAGUUCUAGAUACAUCCAUUUCUUCGAUGAGUAAUUUGGAACGAAGGGAGUAGUUG
rnacentral:pre_miRNA from 1 species